rnacentral:rRNA from 1 species
AUUGAACGCUGGCGGCAGGCUUAACACAUGCAAGUCGAGCGAGCGGCGGACGGGUGAGUAAUGUCUGGGAAACUGCCUGAUGGAGGGGGAUAACUACUGCAAACGGUAGCUAAUACCGCAUACCAUCAGAUGCGCCCAGAUGGGAUUAGCUAGUAGGUGGGGUAAUGGCUCAACUAGGCGCCGACCCCUAGCUGGUCUGAGAGGAUGACCAGACACACUGGAACUUAGACACGGUCCAGACUACUACGGUAGGCAGCAGUGGGAAAUAUUGCACACUGGGCGAAAGCCUGAUGAAGCCAUGCCGCGUGUGUGAAGAAGGCCUUCGGGUUGUAAAGCACUUUCAGCGAGGAGGCGGUACUCGAAGAAGAAGCACCGGCUAACUCCGUGCCAGCAGCCGCGGUAAUAC